rnacentral:lncRNA from 1 species
GAUGAGGGGGUUGAUCCCCCAUGACCCCAAGGUUAGGGGUUCAACCCCUAGCGCGUGCUUAUUUGUUCCUUUUUCUUUAUUUCCCUUUUCAUUUUAUUUUUUAUCCCACUUAUAUUUAUUUUUCUGAAAAUAUUUCCAACACAGACUCAUGUUAUUUUUGUCUACUAUUUUAUUGUGUUUUAUUUUUUGUCAUUUGAGA